UACGGGGGGGGGGUAAGCGUUUGUUCGGAAUUACUGGGCGUAAAGAGCUCGUAGGCGGCUUGUCACGUCGGGUGUGAAAGCCCGGGGCUUAACCCCGGGUCUGCAUUCGAUACGGGCUAGCUAGAGUGUGGUAGGGGAGAUCGGAAUUCCUGGUGUAGCGGUGAAAUGCGCAGAUAUCAGGAGGAACACCGGUGGCGAAGGCGGAUCUCUGGGCCAUUACUGACGCUGAGGAGCGAAAGCGUGGGGAGCGAACAGG
rnacentral:rRNA from 1 species